CUUAAUUCUUUAAAGUCAUGGGAAUUUGAAUGGUACUCGGCUUAAGCCAGAUUCUUUGACUGCUGAAGGGGUUUUUUAGUAACUGAUUUUUUUUUUUUCAGCUCAAACAGCAUCACAAAUACAAAAAGUGAAAUCAGCAUGGCUAUGUUGAGUGUGCCUCCGUUCCAGGAAGAAAGCUAUUCCCUUCCAUCAGCCUAGUCUGAUUCAGCUCUGAGGAUCAACCUUUGCUACAGUUACCAGGCUGCUGUUCCAAGACACUUGUGGCUGUCCCAGAUAGUAGCUGGCUGACAGAAUUAGUGCCCUCAAGGGAAGAUGAACAAUUUCGAUUUUACAACCAUUUUUGGCUGAAGCACCAGACCAGGCUCUGUUUUCCACAACGUAAGCAUUCCAGCAGAUCUGCAUUUCAUUGCACAGAUGGUAUCUCAAAAAAAAAACUACCACAACAAAAACUAUUCAUUGUUAAUAUGUUUCUGGUGCCAAGACACACAGAAGGUUUAUAUGCCAC